AUGCUCACUUCGGUAGCACAUAUACUAAAAUGGAAACAGUACAGAGAAGAUUAGCAUGGCCCCUGUGCAAGGAUGACAUGCAAAUUUGUGACACGUUCCAUAUUUUC
rfam:Myotis brandtii contig300281, whole genome shotgun sequence.